UCCCUGUCCUCCAGGAGCUCCAGGUCUGGGGUGGGUGUGGGGAUUUCUGCAGGAGGGA
ensembl:miRNA